rnacentral:rRNA from 1 species
AUGAAAGAGUACUCAGAUGUGGGGAAGUACCGUGGCCAAAAUGGGUGGACAAAGGAAGGAUGGCAGGCUAUGAAAGACCGAUUAAAUGCGAGACCUCCUGGAGCUAAUUUUACUGUUCAACAGCUGAAAGAUAGGGAGCAAAGGCUGAAGAAGGAACUGAAUGUCGUCAAGUCUAUUGUGGAAAAGAGUGGAUUUGGUUGGGAUCCCAAGAACAAAGUUCCAACGGCUUUAGAUGAAAAAUGGGAGGAGCUAUCAACUGAACAGCGCAAGUGGAGGAACCAUUCCCAUACUAUGAUGUUCUAUAUGAAAUUCAUGAAGGUAAAAUGGUAG